ensembl:miRNA Mir17 microRNA 17
GUCAGGAUAAUGUCAAAGUGCUUACAGUGCAGGUAGUGGUGUGUGCAUCUACUGCAGUGAAGGCACUUGUGGCAUUGUGCUGAC